GAUGAACGCUGGCGGCGUGCCUAAUACAUGCAAGUCGAGCGAACAGACGAGGAGCUUGCUCCUUUGACGUUAGCGGCGGACGGGUGAGUAACACGUGGGUAACCUACCUAUAAGACUGGGAUAACUUCGGGAAACCGGAGCUAAUACCGGAUAAUAUUUCGAACCGCAUGGUUCGAUAGUGAAAGAUGGCUCUGCUAUCACUUAUAGAUGGACCUGCGCCGUAUUAGCUAGUUGGUAAGGUAACGGCUUACCAAGGCAACGAUACGUAGCCGACCUGAGAGGGUGAUCGGCCACACUGGAACUGAGACACGGUCCAGACUCCUACGGGAGGCAGCAGUAGGGAAUCUUCCGCAAUGGGCGAAAGCCUGACGGAGCAACGCCGCGUGAGUGAUGAAGGUCUUCGGAUCGUAAAACUCUGUUAUUAGGGAAGAACAAACGUGUAAGUAACUGUGCACGUCUUGACGGUACCUAAUCAGAAAGCCACGGCUAACUACGUGCCAGCAGCCGCGGUAAAAC
rnacentral:rRNA from 1 species